AUUUUGUGACAUUCCAUGAAGUAAUCUGCAUUCCAGGCACCAGGCAGUAUACUGGAAGCUUACUUGACAUAACUGAAGAUACUUUGAUAUGCUGUGAGCCAUCUUCUUCAUAUAUUUCUUAAACAUGAACAACACCAUCCAGAGUUGAUGCAAAACAGUCAGAAAGAUUCACACCAAUGCUCUUAGCUUGGGUGUCAACAAUUACUUUGAGAACCUCCAGCUGCCCUAGAGCAGAACUUGGGGGCUGAAGGACACUGGAGAUUCAGGAAGAAAAGUGGAAGUGGAGCAUGUGACUUGAAGGGAUGAACAGCACCUUUUUCUUGGUCAGACAGUUCUCCAAGAUCCAGUACCUGGAAGAGAGAAGACAUAUCCAUGUGCAGAGGAAUUGUAAAAGGACAGAAGAAAACCUCAGCACAGCAGAUCUUCUAAAUAAGCAGAGGCAGAAACAAAUAAGCUAACAAAAGUAAAGAGGUUUAAAAUAAAGACAAAUGUUUAUUGGAGCCACCCAUGUAUUUCUGCUCAGUACAAUAACAC